rnacentral:rRNA from 1 species
AGUGAACGCUGGCGGUAGGCCUAACACAUGCAAGUCGAACGGCAGCACAGUAAGAGCUUGCUCUUACGGGUGGCGAGUGGCGGACGGGUGAGGAAUACAUCGGAAUCUACUUUUUCGUGGGGGAUAACGUAGGGAAACUUACGCUAAUACCGCAUACGACCUACGGGUGAAAGCAGGGGAUCUUCGGACCUUGCGCGAUUGAAUGAGCCGAUGUCGGAUUAGCUAGUUGGCGGGGUAAAGGCCCACCAAGGCGACGAUCCGUAGCUGGUCGGAGAGGAUGGUAGACGACAUGGGGAGGUAGACAGCGACAUUGGCACUGACGUACGGCACAGAGUCCUAUAGGGGGCAGCAGGGGGGAAUCUUGUACAACCGGCGGGCGCGUGAUACAGAGAAGCCGCGUUCGGGAUGACGGUCUUGGGGUUAAAAAAAGCUGUCGCCUGAGACCACGCGUGAGUGACGGUAACGGAUAAAGAAGCACCGGCUAACUUCGUG